rnacentral:rRNA from 1 species
CCAAUAGCGUAUAUUUAAGUUGUUGCAGUUAAAAAGCUCGUAGUUGGAUUUUGGGCGUGAGCGGCCGGUCUGCCGCUUAGGUAGCACUGGUCGCUCUAGCCUUUUUGUCGGGGACGCGUCCUGACCUUCGUUGGCCGGGGCGCGGAGUCGGCGAUGUUACUUUGAAAAAAUUAGAGUGUUCAAAGCAGGCCUACGCUCUGAAUACAUUAGCAUGGAAUAACGCUAUAGGACUCUGGUCCUAUUUCGUUGGUCUUCGGGAACAGAGUAAUGAUUAAUAGGGACAGUUGGGGGCAUUCGUAUUUCAUUGUCAGAGGUGAAAUUCUUGGAUUUAUGAAAGACGAACUUCUGCGAAAGCAUUUGCCAAGGAUGUUUUCAUUAAUCAAGAACGAAAGUUGGGGGCUCGAAGACGAUCAGAUACCGUCCUAGUCUCAACCAUAAACGAUGCCGACUAGGGAUUGGCGGAUGUUACUUUGAUGACUCCGCCAGCACCUUAUGAGAAAUCAAAGUUUUUGGGUUCCGGGGGGAGUAUGGUCGCAAGGCUGAAACUUAAAGGAAUUGACGGAAGGGCACCACCAGGUGUGGAGCCUGCGGCUUAAUUUGACUCAACACGGGGAAACUUACCAGGUCCAGACAUAGUAAGGAUUGACAGAUUGAGAGCUCUUUCUUGAUUCUAUGGGUGGUG